CCCCACAAUGGAACUGAGACACGGUCCAUACUCCUACGGGAGGCAGCAGUGAGGAAUAUUGCGCAAUGGGGGAAACCCUGACGCAGCAACGCCGCGUGAACGAUGAAGGCCUUCGGGUCGUAAAGUUCUUUUCUAAGGGAAGAUAGUGACGGUACCUUAGGAAUAAGUCCCGGCUAACUACGUGCCAGCAGCCGCGGUAAAACGUAGGGGGCGAGCGUUAUCCGGAUUUAUUGGGCGUAAAGCGCACGUAUGUGGCGCUGUAAGUUAGACGUGAAAGCUCUCGGCUCAACUGAGAGAGGUCGUUUAAAACUGCAGUGCUUGAGGUUAGAAGAGGAGAGCAGAAUUCCCGGUGUAGUGGUGGAAUGCGUAGAUAUCGGGAGGAAUACCAGUGGCGAAGGCGGCUCUCUAGUCUACACCUGACACUGAGGUGCGUAAGCGUGGGUAGCGAACGGGAUUAGAUACCCCGGUAGUCCACGCUGUAAACGAUGGAUACUAGGUUUAGGGGGUCAAUUAACCCCUCUGGGCCGAAGCAAACGCGUUUAGUAUCCCGCCUGGGGACUACGGCCGCAAGGUUUAAACUCAAAGGAAUUGACGGAGGCCCGCACAAGCAACGGAGCGUGUUGGUUUAAUUCGAUGAUACGCGAAGAACCUUACCUGGGCUGAACUACGUGGUAGUAGUGAAGCGAAAGCGGAUCGACCCUUCGGGGAGCCUCGAUAGGUGCUGCAUGGCUGUCGUCAGCUCGUGUCGUGAGAUGUUGGUUUAAGUCCCGCAACGAGCGCAACCCUCGUCGCUAGUUACAAGUGUCUAGCGAGACUGCCGGUAUCAAACCGGAGGAAGGUGGGGAUGACGUCAAGUCAGCAUGGUCUUUAUGUCCAGGGCUACACACACGCUACAAUGGUCGGUACAAUAGGUUGCCACACCGCGAGGUGGAGCUAAUCCUCAAAGCCGAUCUCAGUUCGGAUUGUAGUCUGCAACUCGACUACAUGAAGGCGGAGUUGCUAGUAACCGCGCGUCAGCAUAGUGCGGUGAAUGCGUUCCCGGGCCUUGUACACACCGCCCGUCACAUCAUGGGAGUCGGUAACACCUGAAGUCGGUGACCUAACCGAAAGGGGGGA
rnacentral:rRNA from 1 species